rnacentral:lncRNA from 1 species
AGAAAAACCAGCUUUGAACUCUGCGUGCAAGGCCUCCUGAGCCUCAGGCCCCAGCCAAAGAUGCUGCGGGAUUCUACAGCUCAGCAGAGCAUGGGGGCAGGGCAUGCCAGGCGAGUGACCUCAGUCCUAGUGUACUCUCUCUAACACUCAAGUGGAAGACGCCUGAUGGUGUUCUCUGCACUGCAGUUGUGGGCGACUGGAGCAGCUGCUGCUUGGAUAGCAAGGUAAUGUAAAUGAGAUUCUGCCUGCCCACUUGUCUCCAGGAGUUUCUCAACUAACUCCAUCCCUACAACCUCCCCGCCCCCACUGCCUCUCAAGACCUGCAGGUGGUGCUGAGGGCAAACGUCACUUCCCUCAAGUCACCCCCUGAGUGAGGAGUGAUCCAGAGGGACUCAGCAGACACAAACAGCAAUGUGGGAAGGGGCUAAGGGGCCACAAGCAGACACUUCUGCCUGCCAAUAAUUUCCUAUGUCAUCCGAGGUGAGAUGGGGGCUAGCAUACACUAGAGCUAUGCUCAUGAACUGGAAUACAGACAGGCAGGAGAGGAGAUGCCUAACAGCUUUAUAUAACAUAGACAAAUUCAAAGGCAAAAGAGCGAAGACACUUUUUGAUGUAUUUUUCCUAAUGAUCUUACAUCAAAGGAUUUCAAACCUUAUUAGUGAUUUCUCCCAUACUCUUGGAAACCUUAGGCAUACAAAGUAGUUUUUAAAGACUUCUAAGACUAUAAAACAUGCCGCACUAGAUAUAAGGCAGGCACACCAUACUCUCAGCAUCCAGCUGAGGCAGGAGGAACUCAGGACAGACUACACAGUAAGCCUAUACAAAAAGAGACAUACAUCACAGGAGAGCAGGGGACAGGAGCAGUGACCCAACACCAACAAACGCUCUCAGACCAUGAAGAAUAAACCAAGUCGACGGAUGGGGGGAAUCAUAUGAACAGUCCCCAGAAGACAGCACGUAAGUGAUUCGCAAACAGUCAACUCAAGCCCUUCCUCGCACCAAAAAACCCGCUGGGAAUGAGACAAGCAAACCAAGACAAGCCACGACUUCUCCAACCCCACAGCUUUUACAAGAAGAGGGAUCUUCAGACAGGAUGAGGGAUCAACCCUACAGCUAUAGGCCAGCGCCUGAUGGACCCUGAGCAGAUCUGAAAACAGUUACUCUGUGUCUCACAAGAAUCUACUCUGUUGGUUUUUGCUUUUCCAGGUAGGCUUUGAGUAGCCCUGGCUGUCCUGAAACUCACUCUGUGUACCAGACUGGCCUGGUCUCAAGAGAUCUGCCUGCUUCUGCCUCCUGAGUGCUGGGAUUAAAGGCGUGUGCCACCAAUACCCACUCACCAGAAUUAAGACCAAUUCAAAUAACCCUGACCUUUUCCACAUCUCCCUCCAACCAAAGAAAAUAUAAAUACAGAUUAAUAAAAUUUAUUAGAAAAACAUUAA